GGGGAUUUAGCUCAGCGGCAUAAGCGCCUGCCUAGCAAGCAGGCAGUUGUGAGUUCAAUCCCUG
rnacentral:tRNA from 1 species